rnacentral:rRNA from 1 species
GGACUACCGGGGUUUCUAAUCCGUUUUGCUCCCCACGCUUUCGUGCCUCAAUGUCAGUAACAGAAUAGUUAACUGCCUUCGCCGUUAUUGGUGUUCUUCCAUAUAUCUACACAUUUUACCGCUCCACAUGGAGUUCCGUUAACCUCUCCUGUACUCAAGCCAGACAGUAUUAUCAGUUUCCACGAGGUUGAGCCUCGGUUUCCCACUGUUAACUUGCCAAGCCAUCUGCGCACCCUUUACGCCCAAUGAUUCCGGAUAACGUUCGCCACCUACGUCUUACCGCGGCUGCUGGCAC